rnacentral:piRNA from 1 species
UCCAUUCCUAGCUGUUCACAAAGACAUCUUC